ACCGCGGUAGCCCCCAGUUGGUAAUGGCCUCGGCAGUACAGAUGCUGAUGGUCGCUGGUUCAAAUCCUGCCUGCGGUG